GUGGGGAAUAUUCCGCAAUGGACGAAAGUCUGACGGAGCAACGCCGCGUGAGUGAUGAAGGUUUUCGGACUGUAAAGCUCUGUUGUUUAGGACGAAAGUGCCUGUUGCAAAUAGUUACAGGUAUUGACGGUACUGAACGAGGAAGCCACGGCUAACUACGUGCCAGCAGCCGCGGUAAUACGUAGGUGGCAAGCGUUGUCCGGAAUUAUUGGGCGUAACUAGCAUGUAGGCGGGAAUCUAAGUCUGUUGUGAAAAUGCGGGGCUCAACCCCGUAUUGCGAUGGAAACUGGGUUUCUUGAGUGCAGGAGAGGAAAGGGGAAUUCCCAGUGUAGCGGUGAAAUGCGUAGAUAUUGGGAGGAACACCAGUGGCGAAGGCGCCUUUCUGGACUGUGUCUGACGCUGAGAUGCGAAAGCCAGGGUAGCGAACGGGAUUAGAUACCCUGGUAGUCC
rnacentral:rRNA from 1 species